ACAGGUUCAAGUGAUCUUCCCACCUCAGCCUCCCAGGUAGCUGGGACUAUAAGCGAAGACCACCACACUUGGCUAUUUUUUUUUUCAGUAGAGAUGGGGUUUCACUAUGUUGCCCAGGCUUGUCUCCAACUCAUGAGUUCAAGCAAUCUGCCCAUCUUGGCCUCCAAAAGUGCUGAGAUUUACAGAUAACAAAAUCCUGGAAAAGAGAUGCCAAGUAACUUUUCCAAGAUCAAUGAUCUAGUAACUGGCAGAGCUGGGUGCAAACCAAAGUGGUCUGACUUUGGAACUAAUAUAUGAAAUAUAAAUCAUCUUUUAAGUGGAGUGGCCCAAGAACACUUUAUAUAUGACCUAUAGAAAGAACACUCAACUCUUUCCUGAAAAACAGUACCAAGUUGAAGGCUGAAGAGGGAGUGAAUAAAUGGAAAAGUAUUUUUUUCUUAGGUAAGAAGACUAUAUUGCACAUGUACACAAAUUAUGUUAUGUACCAUUUGUUACACAAACAUUUUCAAUAGCAAUGACUGAGAAUACCCUGAGAUUCCAUCUGUAAAUGGACAGUAUAAAUAAAUGUGGUAUAUUCAUA
rnacentral:lncRNA from 1 species